rnacentral:lncRNA from 1 species
AUGCGAUUUUGUGAGUGGGACGACAAUUUCAUCAACCUCUGGAGACCACUGAGAUACCACAAAGUACCGGACAGUAGAAAAAAGUACCUAUACAAAAACAAAUCUAAAUUAAUGUUUGUUCGUUGUGCUCUCUUCGGGUGGUACAUAUACUAAAAUUGGAAUCAUCCAGAAAAUAUUAGCAUGGUCCCUAUGUAAAGAUGACACCUAAAAUCGUGAAGCAUUCCACAUUUUUUUAAUUAUAAGCUAAACUCUGUUUCUCGUGGCUUUCAACAAUAGUCUGGAUCACUGCUCCCCUUUAUUUAAGGAAAUACCUACUUAUAUACCGACGAUUUGGCCCUAUUUGCAAAGGACAAGAAUAUACAAGGUCACGAAUCCACGAAGGACAAGAAUCCCUUUAUAAACUAAAGAUAUAGUCCACGUUAGUAGGCGUGCAAUUGACUCCACUAAAAACAAGAUGCGUGAUUUUGUGAAGAACCUGUUUUAUUAUGCUGAAGUUCAUCAUUGAAGGCUUUAAAGCAUACCUUUCCAAGUCUGCAGCACUUAAGCUUUGUAACAUAUCUCGUCGAUCGAGAAGACUAGGAUAUUUGUUUAUUCUUCCCGAUUUUAGAAUAACCAAUCUUAUUGAUUAUGUUUUUCUAGGUAGGUGCUGAUUGUUUCCUUAAUCUCUUUCUGAAUAACUUCGAUCAAGUGCGCUACAUCCCACAUCAACAGUUAAUUUUUUGGUAUACCUACUCAGUUCAGUUCAUCCACAGAGUCCAUGCCCUAAACGUUGUUUUAUUGAACCGUAGACCUUGACUCUGGCCUUUCGAUAAGACUCUCAAGCACUGCUUGUUCCAGUUUGUUGAUGAUCAACUCUGCUUGAACUCUAUCAACAUGAGUAGGGGAAGGACGGGGAAGAUGACGCAGCGUCUAAGAUGACGCACCUCUGUAUUUUAUCAAGUACUUCACUAAAUUCAGUUUUUAUACCCGUGGCGCCCUCCUUUAGAAACUACUAUUACUUUAAAACUUCAUCGGUCAGCUUUCGUACUGUUUAGUAUCUGUGAGGCAGAGUAACGCGAUACACGUUGAUUUCUUGUUAUUUUUGACACUGCGAAUAUUAAUGGUAAGUUGUUUAAAAAUGGUUCCAUUGGAUUUUCUUCAUAUUCAUGGGAGUAGGUGAUAUUUAUUUUCAGUUA